UACGUAGGGCGCAAGCGUUGUCCGGAAUUAUUGGGCGUAAAGAGCUCGUAGGCGGCCUGUUGCGUCCGCUGUGAAAUCCCGGGGCUUAACCCCGGGUCUGCAUUCGAUACGGGCAGACUAGAGUUCGGUAGGGGAGACUGGAAUUCCUGGUGUAGCGGUGAAAUGCGCAGAUAUCAGGAGGAACACCGGUGGCGAAGGCGGGUCUCUGGGCCGAUACUGACGCUGAGGAGCGAAAGCGUGGGGAGCGAACAGG
rnacentral:rRNA from 1 species